GAUGAACGCUGGCGGCGUGCCUAAUACAUGCAAGUCGAGCGAAGCGGGGACGGGUGAGUAACACGUGGAUAACCUCCUAUAUGACGGGGCUAACUUCGGGAAAACGGGGAUAAAACGGCUACUUCUAGAUGGAUCCGCGCUGCAUUAGCUAGUUGGUAAGGUAACGUCUUACAAAGGCAACGAUGCAUAGCCGGACUGAGAGGGUGAUCGGCCACACUGGAACUGAGACACGGUCCAGACUCCGACGGGAGGCAGCAGUAGGGAAUCUUCCGCAAUGGGCGAAAGCCUGACGGAGCAACGCCGCGUGGGUGAUGAAGGUCUUCGGGUCGUAAAACUCUGUUAUUAGGGAAGCGUUACCUAAUCAGAAAGCCACGGCUAACUCCGUGCCAGCAGCCGCGGUAAUUC
rnacentral:rRNA from 1 species